rnacentral:rRNA from 1 species
UAGGGAAUCUUCGGCAAUGGGGGGAACCCUGCCCGAGCAACGCCGCGUGAGUGAAGAAGGUUUUCGGAUCGUAAAGCCCUGUUGUUAAGGAAGAACGAGUGUGAGAAUGGAAAGUUCAUGCUUUGACGGUACUUAACCAGAAAGGGACGGCUAACUACGUGCCAGCAGCCGCGGUAUUACGAAGGUCCCGAACGUUGUCCGGAUUUAUUGGGCGUAAAGCGGGCGCAGUCGGUUAGAAAAGUCGGAAGUGAAAGGCAGUGACUCAACCAUUGUAGGCUUUGGAAACUGUUUAACUUUGGUGCAGAAGUGGAGAGUGGAAUUCCAUGUGUAGCGGUGAAAUGCGUAGAUAUAUUGAGGAACACCGGUGGCGAAAGCGACUCUCUGGUCUGUAACUGACGCUGAGGCUCGAAAGCGUGGUGAGCGAACAGG